rnacentral:rRNA from 1 species
AGUGAACGCUGGCGGUAGGCCUAACACAUGCAAGUCGAACGGCAGCACAGUAAGAGCUUGCUCUUACGGGUGGCGAGUGGCGGACGGGUGAGGAAUACAUCGGUAUCUACUUUUUCGUGGGGGAUAACGUAGGGACACUUACGCUAAUACCGCAUACGACCUACGGGUGAAAGCAGGGGAUCUUCGGACCUUGCGCGAUUGAAUGAGCCGAUGUCGGAUUAGCUAGUUGGCGGGGUAAAGGCCCACCAAGGCGACGAUCCGUAGCUGGUCUGAGAGGAUGAUCAGCCACACUGGAACUGAGACACGGUCCAGACUCCUACGGGAGGCAGCAGUGGGGAAUAUUGGACAAUGGGCGCAAGCCUGAUCCAGCCAUACCGCGUGGGUGAAGAAGGCCUUCGGGUUGUAAAGCCCUUUUGGUGGGAAAGAAAAGCAGCAGGUUAAUACCCCGCUGUUCUGACGGUACCCAAAGAAUAAGCACCGGCUAACUUCGUG